GAUGAAGAACGUAGCGAAAUGCGAUAAGUAAUGUGAAUUGCAGAAUUCAGUGAAUCAUCAAAUCUUUGAACGCACAUUGCGCCCGGUAGUAUUCUGCCGGGCAUGCCUGUUCGAGCGUCAUUUCAACCAUCAAGCCCCAGCGCUUGUGUUGGGGGCCUGCGGCUGCCGCAGCCCCCUAAAAGCAGUGGCGGGCUCGCUAUCACACCGAGUGCAGUAGUUCAUCUUCUCUCCGGUCUUGUGAGGCGGGUUCCGGCCGUGAAACACCCCACUACAUUCAAGGUUGACCUCGGAUCAGGUAGGAAUACCCGCUGAACUUAAGCAUAUCAAUAAGCGGAGGA
rnacentral:misc_RNA from 1 species